GCACUGUGGGUGUGUGUGUGUGUGUGUGUGUGUGUGUGCUUGCUUCGAAGGCGGCUCUGAUGGACACUAUGUCGGCAGAGCCUCACAGUGGUCCUCUGCAGGGCGCUGGUGAGGGCCGUGUCCUGUGACAUCCGUGGAGUGACGCAGCUUCUCUGUGUGUGCAGUUCCUGCCUGUGUACAGCCCGUCCGAGGAGGAGAAGAGGAACCCCGCGCUGUACGCCAGCAACGUGCGGUGUGUCAUGGCAGAGGCCUUGGGCGUCUCCGUGACUGACUACACAUUUGAAGACUGCCAGCUUGCCCUGGCGGAGGGACAGCUCCGCCUCCCUGCCGACACUUGCCUUUUGGAAUUUGCCCGGCUCGUGCGGGGCCUCGGGCUGAAACCGGAAAAACUUGAAAAAGAUCUGGACAAAUAUUCAGAAAGUGCUAAGGUGAAGAGGGGAGAAAAGAUUGGUCUUCCAGAGUUUGCAGCGUACCUGGAGGUCCCCGUCUCUAGCGUGCUCGAAGACAUGUUUUCACUGUUCGAUGAGGGCGGGGGCGGCGAGAUGGACCUGCGGGAGUACGUGGUCGCCUUGUCCGUCGUCUGCAGGCCUUCCCAGACCCUGGACACCAUACAGCUGGCGUUCAAGAUGUACGGGUCGCAGGAGGACAGCAGCAUAGAUGAGGCCGACCUGUCCUGCAUCCUCAGGACGGCCUUGGGGGUGGCGGAGCUUCCUGUGGCCGACCUCUUCCAGGCCAUCGACGGGGAGGAGAAGGGAAGGAUCACAUUUGGCGACUUCGACAGGUUUGCAGAAAUGUACCCCGACUUUGCGGAGGAAUACCUGUAUCCCGAUCAGACGUGUCCCCAGCACCGUGCACAGACCCCGCCCGCGCCCACCCCGAACGGCUUCUGUACUGACUUCAGCCCUGAAAACUCGGACACUGGGAGGAAGCCUUUCUGUAAGAAACUGGACUAGGAUGGAAGGUUCCAGAGACAAGGCCUGUCCCCGCUGUCAACACCACCUCCACGCGGCCAUGUGCCCUGCUGGCGAGUGACAUCUGGGUUUCCCUCCCCCACUCAGCUGGACAGCCACCAUCUCCGGGUCUGAGUCCCAGAAGACCUGGGGGUUUCGUUUUUAUUUUGUUUCUCUGUGAAGGGUCUCGAUUCCAGAGCCCGGCGUGCGGAAUGCUGGGUGCUGGGUGCUCGGAGGGAAGCUGCCUGCCAGUCCCGGGCGGGUCUCCCUUUGGGUCAGGUCCCCACAGGGCGAGUGGGCACCAGGCGUUGCAGUGUCCUGGUUUGAGUUUCCAUCGCAAUCUCUUCUAACGUCCCUUUUUCAUCAGCUGGUGACAGCGUGCACAGGCGGGGCGUCACACGCACACUCCACACACUUGAAGCACGGAACGUGCGGCCUGCGUUUGAUUCCAGCACAAAGUCUCUGCCCACCCCUGUGGGUUCGCCACUUGGCAGAGCCGCUGUCUGAUUUUUAAACAUUUCUAUAUUUGUGCAGGAGUUCAUGAGUAUUUUAUAAACUUCAUUUGGGUACUUCAGGAAGCAUUCAGCAUUUUUUUAAAAUAAGAAAAUUGUUUUUCUACUUCACUUUUUCCUUUUAGGGUCAACAAAUAUUUAUUUAUAAGCCCUUUUUUGAUAGAAUCUGAGGCUGUUUGGGGCUUUGACUUAAAUUUCCAGCAGGCCUCUCUCUGCCAGGUAAAUUCCUCACCUCCUGUUUGGGUCCAUAGGGGGAGGUUUGACCACAAGGACUCAGCCCCAGAAUGCGUUUUCUGCUUUCCUUAAUCCUUUUCAAAUCCCCCUCUUUUUUAUAAACAUUAUCAGUUUGGUAUUUCUGUUCCAUUUCAACAUAAUCGACUUUGUGUAGCUUAAACUCCAAUCAAAGCAACGAGGAUUGGUAAAAUCGGUGAGGCAGAAGGCAGGACUGGAGUGGGCAGCCUGCCUGGGUGUGCGGAUCGCAGGGCUCGGCGCGCACCCCCAUCCACGGGGCGGGUGCCGGUGGGAAGCGGCCGCUGCUCCUCUGUGCCCCGGUUUCUACGGCACCUUAGGGUAAAGCAGCCACCCUUCUGCGGGUGGCCGAAGUCUUUCACUGUGGAGGACGCGAGGUGGAGCGCGGUGUGGGGCUGCGAGGGUGUCUGGCGACGGCCGUGUGGCGCAGCUCGUCCCCAGCGGCGCUGCCUCCUGACCUCACGGCUGAGCAGCGCAUCUCACCGGGCCGUGCGGUUCAGCCCCUCUCGGGCCCAGGGAUGACUGGAGCAGGACUGGCCAAAGGGGAUGUUUGGGUAUCGCCUUUGGUCUCUGUGACAUCCCCGUGUUUCAUCCUUCUAUCUUAUGACAAUUAGAAAUCUGUCCUUAAAGCACAAUAACAACCAUAGACUUUAGUUGGUUUCCUAAAGAAAAGCUGCUGGGUUUGUUUGGGGAAAAAAGUUUUUUUUAAUUUCGAAGAUAAGUGUGAUUUUAUAUUUGGGGCAUCUCUGUAGAGGCCAGUAAGGACGGGAAAAAAUGUUUACGAACCCCUCAAAAAGACUGGUGAUGUGCGUUUCUCCACCAACAGACGUUAAAGAAGGAAACACCCCAGCCUUGCCUCGGUUUCAGUCACCUCGACAUGUCCCUAGCGUGUACACUGCCAGCCAGGACAGAGACAGGGAUGCCACCAGCUGAAGUCAGUCAGGGCUCUGGGCUUAUUGGACACAGAAGAAAUCUGAAUGUAGCCUCGGUAGCAGACAGCGGCCGACUUUAUGGGUACAGAAUGCGUAAAGAUUCAUUCUUUAAAGAGAAAAGCCUCAAGUGCGUGAUGAAGGAGGUUAGUAAACUGAGAUAUUCUGAGGCAGGGACUCAGGAGCGUGGCCUCCCUCCCUGCAGGUCUGCAGAUGAAGGGUUUUUUGCAUGAAACGCCACUGUGCGUUUUCAGAAAAAAAAUCUCUGAUAAACAGACUUGGAAUGGAUGUUUUCCCUCCUGAUGGUCUUCUCUCGUGCAGGACUGAGUCUGCAGGCAUUCAGGACUGAGUGUAUGUGGCGUCGGAGCCAAACCCCUCUUGUGUGAGAUGCAGCACCGGCCCUCGCCGCUAUGUAAAGAACUUUGGAUUUUCAGUGGCAUAAAUAAAACGUGAAGUCCUAUGUACUUGA